UGCUGCUCUGCCAGUGCUGAGUGGAAUCUAAAUUUAGGGAUGCACAUGAGUUAUGGGGCAUAGUGUCAUGGGAAUGCUGCAAAGGAACUGGAAGAAGAGCUCUUAGAGCUUCUUUACCAUAUUGCUCCAGAUGGUCCACGUUCUUAUGGAAAGUCUGAUUCUGGAAGGAAUUGUCAGCUCAUGCCAUCCCAUCUGAGAAAUUGAGUGAUUAUAGACUCCUUUUUCAUGGCUCUGUUUCAUUAAGCACCAGAGCUCUUUGCUAAUAGUAUGGGCCAUAUGUUGCCCUCACUAAACAGCACAGUGUGGAGCAGAGGAAUAAGAAUACAAGUGAGAUGAAGCCAGAGUAAGCAUGACAAGUCAAAAAAGAGGACAGACCAACUUCCAUAACAAGAUGAACAACAGAAACUCCACUGGACAAUGGUGAAUGACACAUGGGAGUUCAGCCUUUGAAAGCCCAGAUUAACUUAAUCCCAGAGCCUAUAUUUUGUUUUAUGAUUCUCUUCUGUUGGUGAUCUGAAAAUUCAGACUUCAUUGAAGAUUUACGAUAAGAUCUUUGAAAAAGCCAACCAGCCAUGAAAUAGAACAAUGAUCUGUUCUUUUCUUUCUGACCAGAUUAGUACAAAGCAUUUUGCUUAGUACUUUGUACUAAUUUGCAAAUUUCUCCUCAUACACAGACUUCAAUUCAAUUUAUUGCUUACUACUAGAAUCUAGUGUACAAAUUGAGAUUGUCUCAAAUAAUCAUCCCCUUUCCAAAAGAUUUACAGUGGAGCUGAAGGAGGAGAAAAAGUUGAUGACAAUGAGAAAAAGUUGGAGAUUUAAUGCAUAAUAACAAUACGUGCUUUUACUAAGGCCUCUAGAAUUUAGCAGAGCAUAAUUUCUACAGGACAUUGCAUACCAUCCAGGAAAAGCAUUCUAUUUAAAGGUAUCAAAUAAUCUAAAAAUAUUAGAGAUAUGUGGCACAUACACACCACAAUUUCCACCUUAUCAGAAAACAAGAAUGGCCCAAGAUUACCCAAGGCAGCUGUGGCAAAAUAGAGUGAUACUGAAAACAUGUCAAUCUAGAAAAAGAGAAAGAUCCUUUCAGCCUUUACCAACUGCAUGGUUACAUAUAUAAAGUCUGAAUAUCACUGAUUUAGAAAGCCUAGGGUGUAAGUAGAUUGGUUUCAUAAAUCUUCUGUGUGAUAAACAUUCCGUUACUUCCUACAGUUUUACCUUUAUUUCAGAGUUGGUUUCUUCUGUCAAAGGCUGAACCAGUCUUUGAUGUUAUAUAAAGUAUAUUUUUCAAUUUAAAAAUGCUCCUAUUUGUUCUCUAUUCUGACAACUUGUGAUACUAUUUUCAACUACAUUUAUAAGAAGAAUCUUUUGUUUCUAUCUGUCCCUUCUCCUGAUCAGUGAUAUUUGGUGAUGUACCAAUCAUAAAAAGUAUCUAAGCACUAAGAAGUCACAUGCAGGUGUCUCUUCAACUAUUUUAAAGAUUUAAAUAUGUCUGCAUACUCCUUUUUUCCCUUCUGACAUUUUUCCAAAUAUUCUCAUAAAUUAGUUUUGUGUGUGUGGUUUGGUUUUUUUUUUUCUCUAGGGCUAAAAUAGAGCUUCAGGGUUUAGGGUUCCUCAAGGCAUUGUGGCAUAUUUUCUCAUAUAUGGAAAACACAGAACAGCACAACAUAACAGCUUUUCAUGGCAGUGUUUUACAAGUAAUUCUGUCUUCUUCAUUUCCUCCAAAUCUCUUGCAUGAAAAGUAUUGCAUCCUAGUGACCGGCCUUGAGCCUUAAAGAGAAUUUAGUUAUAUGGUUCUGAGCAUAUAAUCUCCCCCAAAUCUCUUUGCCAAAUGGGUGUCUAAUUUACAUUCCAAAUUACCUGAAUUGCAUGCAUAAAUGAGCUAAUGAAACACACAAAUGUGUAACUGGUCAUAAAUAGUAAUUUCGACGUGCAAUUGCAGUAAUUGCAUUCUCCUCAUGAUUUUGAAAACCAGAAUCUAAUGUUAAUUCGAUGCUAGUUCAUCUUGUGUAAUAGUUAUAUUUAAAGAUUAAGUUUAUCACUCAGCAAAUGUGUCAGCCUUGUUCUAUUAUGUCUUUUUUCCAUUAUGGUUAAUUGACAGAUAUCAGAGUUCAACAUUGCAGGGACUUCUUUCUUCUGAUUAGCAGGGUUCAAAUAUUUUCCUAAAAUAAGCAGGACAGCAAAUCUAAAAAUAGAUUUUUAUCUUUUUCAAAAUUAUCACAAUUUUAUACUCCUUUAAACAGCAUGUUUAAAAAGAAAUAAUCAUUUAAGGUAAUGAGUUUUUUGGGGGAAAGACAUAAUAAGUCACAUAGCAAUUUUUGUCCAAAUGUUCUUAUUCACAAUAAUCACAUUACAGAAAUAUCUAAUUAAUUUAACACUUUGUUUCAGUCAUGGGUCCUGGCAAAACCUAAGCCUCAUUUCCUGUUUUCAAAUGCAGGAAAUUUUGUAGCUCUUGUUACUUAUUCUGCUGCCACCCCAUCUGCUUUUCUCUUAGACUGCAAUUGUUUUUUGUGUAACGUAGAACUAAGAUCUCUUUGAGGGAAAUUAUCAAGUGCCAUGGUGUGUCUGAAGGACUCAAGUGUCAUAUGAAAAUUGCUACAUAAUUACACAAAAAGGCUCAGGUGUUUUGUACUAUGAAAUUGUAUGGUGUAAAGACCAAGAACAUAUAUUGCAGUUGUAGUUCUAAGUCCACAGACAUUGUUCAUCUUAAAACUAAAAUUAGUAUUUCAACCACUUUACUGCAAUGAUAAGACUAUAAACAAUAUAAUUCAAUCACAGGGAUUAUGUUUUAAUCGUUUGAAUGUAAGAUCUGACUUUGUGUUUCUCUUUCAGUAGUUUUAACAAUAGCAACAGGGUUGAUAAAUAGAGCCACAUUCAUUGUUACAAAUAAUGCAUAGAAAAACGACUGAAUAAUAAUAGCUGAAAGAAUAAUCCAAAGAAUAUUAAGAUGCUAAUGUUGAUUGUGUUUAUAGUUAGAUAGCAAGUUAUGGCUGAACGCCAUGCAAAGCAUUUUACAGAUUAGGCCUCAAUCCUGUAAUCUGUUUCACUCAGGAAAUGCCCCAAGCCAUCUGUGAGACUGUUAUAAAGAAUAUUUACAUUUUAUCAUACAUAUGUCAGUAUGUCAUUCCUGUCCCAGGCCUA